UACGGAGGGUGCGAGCGUUGUCCGGAAUCACUGGGCGUAAAGGGCGCGUAGGCGGAUGGCACAGUCAGAUGUGAAAUUCCCGGGCUUAACCUGGGGGCUGCAUUUGAUACGUGUGAUCUAGAGUGAGGAAGAGGGUCGUGGAAUUCCCAGUGUAGAGGUGAAAUUCGUAGAUAUUGGGAAGAACACCGGUGGCGAAGGCGGCGACCUGGUCCUUGACUGACGCUGAGGCGCGAAAGCGUGGGGAGCAAACAGG
rnacentral:rRNA from 1 species